UUAGCGUAAGAGCAGAAAUUCCUAACCGGCGGCUAUAGAAUAGAAGCGGCGGCUUUUUUAAGGGAAAAGCCCAAGUCAGGGGGAGAGACCUGCUUUUAGAAGCAAGCAGAAGCUGCAGCGCUAUCUACUGUAGAUUAAUGAUACUUCUCUAAUACCAGCAAUUGCCCUCCAGGAAGAUAUCAUAUUACACCGGAGUCUCUUCACGCAGACACAAAACAGUUCUCUGUUGCUCACUCCGAUUAUGAAGAGAGAACUGAAGUGACAUCAAAUCACUCACUCCGAUUCCGAUCAUAUCAGAGCCCUAACCACUCCGAUCAGAUCAGCUUCUCUAUUUCUCCGAUCGAUUUCGCUAUGGCGGCGGAGAAACCGUUCAAGAGUAUAUUGAAAUCGCUUGAGAAGCCGGACGGCGGCGAGUUCGGAGUACUACAGCUUGCCAGCUCUCAAUGGUCCUAGGAUAAGCUACCGUACUCCAUUAAGAUCCUUCUUGAGUCUGCAAUCUAUAACUGCCAAGAGUUUCAGGUUAAGAGUCUUACAAGUCCCGGUUUAAGUUAUUGAAUGAUGGCACUAUUCGAUGCUGGAGGGAGGGCAAGCGGCACAAUGCACAUCUGAAGAGAUGGCCCAGGAACUCGAAAGCGAAAUUCGAGUGUGUGUUUAGUGAAGUUGGUGUUGUUAAAGAAGAUGGGUUUUCGAUGCCUGUGAACCCCAGCAGCCAAGAAACCUUGGGUCAUUGUUUCAUAGAGUUUAAUUCUCCUCAGUCCUCAAGGUAUCCAGGGUCUCCUUCCUUGCUUAGUCCCGUA